UUUUCUGGCAUCAUGCGGUCAGUUUUGUGGUUUUCGCCUUCCGCGCUAGCAGUGUGGUCCGUGUGGUACCCUACUGUUGCACGUUUGUCGCUGUUCGUGUGUGGUUCAAUGGUGUGCGAACACAUCAAGACGAAGUGAGCCAUGCGACGUGAAAUUCUACCGCAUCCUUAAAGACAACAGGAUGGAAGCGUUUUUAACCUACGCUGGAAGGAUGGACCUAAUGGGUUUGCCCAGGGACAAGGUCAACAACCGCAGAAUAUGCUCGGCGCACUUCACGGAGGUGGAUUUUAUGGACCGAGCGAGAAGCAGGCCAUGAGAAGCUAUUCUGCGCAUUGGCCAUUAGAGAAUUUACAAUAAAUGUUUUUU